GUCUCUUGAUUCAAACCGUCUUGAAAAGUAGAAGCGUCUCUGAUGACUGAGUGCCACCUGUUACUGGAAAGGGGCCAAAUGACCUCUGACCGGACUGCUGCUGGGGAGGUUGGGACACAUCUGUGAUUUCCAUCAGCAUCCACCUUUUUUGACCCAUCAAGAGGCGGGGGCAAAACUUGGUUAAGGAGGGGAAGUAGUUUUCAAAAAACAGAUGAAAGAAGCACCGGAGUCAAACAACUUAGUGCAAUGACCGAUUCUCUUUUGCACGAUUCUCAGAACUGACCUGUCCUUGGCUUUCCAAAAUGUUGCUUCCGGAAUAUUAACCCAUCAGGGUCCUGGAGAGAAGCCACAGCAAAUGAGCUGGCCCACAAGCCCAGAAGUGUGGCAUUGCCUUCCUGCCACCCAGCAACCCAGAGCCUCUCUGCUUAUUCUGCUUUCCUGUCCUUUCCAAGAUUAACAUUUGACCUGCCUUCUUUCCAUGACCCCCAUGACCAACCCUCUGGAUGGUGUGUCCUGAAUAAUAGAAUCAGAAAUAAAAUGAUUCUCCCGUUCCCCGAAGCACAUGCAGAGAAGACAACCUGCAGAGAGACACAGAGGUGGUGGUGCGGGGAAGUGAGCAGGAUCACUGACCAGCAAAUGACGUGUCUGAG